rnacentral:rRNA from 1 species
UCAAUUGAAGAGUUUGAUCCUGGCUCAGAUUAAACGCUGGCGGCAUGGCUAAAACAUGCAAGUCGAACGAGAACCCACUUCGGUGGGGGACAGUGGCGAAAGGGCGAGUAACGCGAUCGAACGUACCCCGAGGCGGGGGAUAGCUGUGGGAAACUGCAGGUAAUACCCCAUGUGCUCUUCGGAGGAAAGGUUUACCACCUUGGGAGCGGCGAUCGUCCUAUCAGGUUGUUGGUGAGGUAACGGCUCACCAAGCCGAAGACGGGUAGCGGGUGUGAGAGCAUGACCCGCCGCAUCGGGACUGAGACACUGCCCGGACUCCUACGGGA